GGAAACCACCACUCAACUCCCGAUUUGGCGUGCACCCAAGAAUCACGAACAAACAGACCGUCUUGAUGUAAAAACACGAGGUAGUUUAAUGGCGGAGCUCUGGGUCAAAACGAAUCUCACGCAGGAGACAGUUGAUUCGACCAUGAGGCUUGGAAGCUAGGGAUUUUUAUAGAAAAGGGGCUGGGGCUGGGGGAGGAUUUGGCGAGGUUUCACAUGAUUGGUCCAUUUAAACAUCAGCAGACUGUACAUGCAGAUAACAUUUAACUUAGGUCAGCAGGGCGGGAGAUAGGGAGGCGCUGGGCCAGUCUGGACAUGCAUUCUCUUUAUCUUCAUGGCCAAGCAGCCUCAGGAAUGUCUUAAUGAGGGGCCUGCCCAGGCAUGUCCUGGCCUGUUCUUCUAUGUUCUCAGCCCCAGGUUUCAAAGCUCACAAACAAGUCUUUGGGCUAUUUGACAUACAUUACAUGAAUCACAGGUCUCAAGUUUUAUUUUCUUUCAUAUCAACCAUCCAGACCUCCCAGAGCUCCCAAGGACUAAACCACCAACCAAAGAAUACACAUGGAGGGACCCAUGGCUCCAGCUGCAUAUGUAGCAGAAGAUGGCCUUAUCUGGUGUUGCGAGCCAUCUAGCGGCUCACAAGGACGGGUACACCUGUAUAGUAGGCCAGCAAUGAAAAAGAGGGAAACUAGGCGAGGAGAGGAAGAUGGAACCAAGACAGGGUUCUGAUCAAGGCUCAAAUUUUUAAUGGCUGACAUGUUUUAUAAAGGAGGGGGGAAGCCCAUUCCCACCAAAUCACCCUUGGAGUCCAGCUGCAGGUGACCACAUGUAGGAUAGGAUGUAGUCUCUGGAAUAGCUAGGCUGACUCCCAGCAGGUAGCAGCAGUGACAGUGGCUGAACAAUAGAGUGAUCUAGGGAGGCAGGCUCCACCCUAGGUAAUCUCCUUAGUGGCAACAAAGUCGAGGUCUGGUUCAGCGAGCUUCAGGUUGGGAGGGGGAGGUUACACUGCAGCCCCCAAAGGGCCCAAACAAUCAAUUCAUAAGUAAUAAUUACAGAGCCAGAGUUAUAAAGCAAUUAUGAGUUAGAAAAAACACAUUUGUUCUCAAAAUAAUUCCCAGACAUGUAAGUAAGCAGGAUUUUAUAUUCUUGAACACGUUUAGCACAUUAUAGCUCUUGGACCAAAUAUAGCUCACAAGAUGAUUUUAUAUGAUCCAGAGCCAAAUAUGCCUUUUACCCCCCACCACUCCCACACUGAUUUGAGAUAUUGUCUUAUUAUGUAAUCCAAGCUGGCCUCCAACAGGCAGUCAUCCUGCCUCAGCAGUUGAUGCUGAGACUACAAGCAUGGGCCAUCAUACCUAGAUUUUAAAGAGCUGGGAAAAGAAAACAACGAAGCUAAAGUAGAAUGAAUACAUAAAGCUCGCUCUCUCUCUCUCUCUCUCUCUCUCUCUCUCU
rnacentral:lncRNA from 1 species